UGACCUCAAAUCAGGUAGGACUACCCGCUGAACUUAAGCAUAUCAAUAAGCGGAGGAAAAGAAACUAACAAGGAUUCCCCUAGUAACUGCGAGUGAAGCGGGAAAAGCUCAAAUUUUGAAUCUGGCGGUCUUUGCAGACCGUCCGAGUUGUAAUCUAGAGAAGCGUCUUCCGCGCUGGA
rnacentral:rRNA from 1 species